rnacentral:rRNA from 1 species
GACGAACGCUGGCGGCGUGCUUAACACAUGCAAGUCGAACGGAAAGGCCCUGCUUUUGUGGGGUGCUCGAGUGGCGAACGGGUGAGUAACACGUGAGUAACCUGCCCUUGACCUUGGGAUAACUUCAGGAAACUGGGGCUAAUACCGGAUAGGAGCUCCUGCUGCAUGGUGGGGGUUGGAAAGUUUCGGCGGUUGGGGCUGGACUCGCGGCUUAUCAGCUUGUUGGUGGGGUAGUGGCUUACCAAGGCUUUGACGGGUAGCCAGCCUGAGAGGGUGACCGGGCACAUUAGGACUGAGAUACGGCCCAGACUCCUACGGGAGGCAGCAGUGGGGAAUAUUGCACAAUGGGCGGAAGCCUGAUGCAGCAACGCCGCGUGCGGGAUGACGGCCUUCGGGUUGUAAACCGCUUUCGCCUGUGACGAAGCGUGAGUGACGGUAAUGGGUAAAGAAGCACCGGCUAACUACGUG